GAUGAACGCUGGCGGCGUGCCUAAUACAUGCAAGUCGAGCGACCAGACGAUGAGCUUGCGCCUCUAACGUUAGCGGCGGACGGGUGAGUAACACGUGCAUAACCUACCUAUAAGACUGGGAUAACUUCGGGAAACCAGAUCUACUACUAGAUAAUAUAUUGAACGGCAUGGUUCAAUAGUUCAUGACGGUUUUGGUGACACUUAUAGAUGGAUCCGCGCCGCAUUAGCUAGUUGGUAAGGUAACGGCUUACCAAGGCAACGAUGCGUAGCCGACCUGAGAGGGUGAUCGGCCACACUGGAACUGAGACACGGUCCAGACUCCUACGGGAGGCAGCAGUAGGGAAUAUUGCGCAAUGGGCGAAAGCCUGACGCAGCAACGCCGCGUGAGUGAUGAAGGUCUUCGGAUCGUAAAGCUCUGUUAUUAGGGAAGAACAACUGUGUAAGAAACUAUGGACGUCUUGACGGUACCUAAUCAGAAAGCAACGGCUAACUACGUG
rnacentral:rRNA from 1 species